UACGAAGGGGGCUAGCGUUGCUCGGAAUUACUGGGCGUAAAGAGCGCGCAGGCGGUCGUUCAAGUCGAGUGUGAAAGCCCCCGGCUCAACUGGGGAGGGUCACUCGAUACUGAUCGACUCGAAGGCAGGAGAGGGAAGCGGAAUUCCCGGUGUAGUGGUGAAAUGCGUAGAUAUCGAGAGGAACACCAGUGGCGAAGGCGAGUCCCUGGACAUCUCCUGACACUGAGGCACGAAAGCUAGGGGAGCAAACAGG
rnacentral:rRNA from 1 species